rnacentral:rRNA from 1 species
UACGUAGGUGGCGAGCGUUGUCCGGAUUUACUGGGCGUAAAGAGCGCGCAGGCGGUCGUACAAGUCGCGUGUGAAAGCCCCCGGCUCAACUGGGGAGGGUCACGCGAUACUGUUCGACUCGAAGGCAGGAGAGGGUAGUGGAAUUCCCGGUGUAGUGGUGAAAUGCGUAGAUAUCGGGAGGAACACCAGUGGCGAAGGCGGCUUUCUGGUCUGUUCUUGACGCUGAGGCGCGAAAGCUAGGGUAGCAAACGGGG